rnacentral:rRNA from 1 species
UACGGAGGAUCCAAGCGUUAUCCGGAAUCAUUGGGUUUAAAGGGUCCGUAGGCGGUUUAAUAAGUCAGUGGUGAAAGCCCAUCGCUCAAGCGGUGGAACGGCCAUUGAUACUGUUAGACUUGAAUUAUUAGGAAGUAACUAGAAUAUGUAGUGUAGCGGUGAAAUGCUUAGAGAUUACAUGGAAUACCAAUUGCGAAGGACAAGGU